CCAAGGAGUUUAGCGUGUACGCGAGUCAUUGGGUGUUAAAACCUAAAGGCGUAAUGAAAGUGAAGGAAACUUCGUUUUCGAGGGAGGAUGAAACAUGUCUCUUUCCAGGGCUGUUUCCGCACUCCCGGGGCGUCUCUAUCUCAUUGCGAGAGGAGGCGCACCUAGAGCGUACACGCUGAUACCCGAAAGAUGGUGAACUAUGCCUGGCGAGGACGAAGCCAGGGGAAACCCUGGUGGAGGUCCGCAGCGAUUCUGACGUGCAAAUCGAUCGUCGGAGCUGGGUUUAGGGGCGAAAGACCAAUCGAACCAUCUAGUAGCUGGUUCCCUCUGAAGUUUCCCUCAGGAUAGCUUGCGCUCAAAUGAUACGAGUCUCAUCCGGUAGAGCGAAUGAUUAGAGGCCUUGGGGUCGAAACGACCUCAACCUAUUCUCAAACUCCAAAUAGAUGAGAACCCCGGCUUUCUUGAACUUAUGUUGAUGAAGCCGGGGGCUUGGAUCAGAGUGCCAAGUGGGCCAAUUUU
rnacentral:rRNA from 1 species